GUUCAGUUGGUAGAGCAUGGUGUUUGCAACGCCAGGGUUGUGGGUUCGAUUCCCAC
rnacentral:tRNA from 1 species